GCCAAUAAUCGUAAACAGCAGUCAACAAGCUGGGUAUCCUAGAAUACGUAGCUUACGGAGCCAUUCCAAGAGGAAACUGCAUAUGCUGAGAUGCAAGAUCAAGAAUAGUUUUCAAAAACAAAUGCUACAUACAAAAUUGAAUUUUUUUAAAAAAUGGAAAGAUGGUUUCAGAUAGCUAUACCAGAAAAUUUAUAAUUUCCUCCAGGCAACCAGGAACAGAAGUGCAUAGGAUUGGUUAAAUACAUAUGGUGCUUCCGAACUCCAAAGAUAAAGGAGAAUGUACAUUUCAAAUGACAAAUAGUUACAAAUCACAAUAACACUAUUGUUUGAAACACACUGGAGUCCAAAGAAAACAUAACCAUACAAAACCAAAAUGAGGAAGUUAUACCGGCAAAUAAUUGUAUUUUCUUUUGUCGAAGUCCUCCCAUAGAGAUACAUGACGUAUAAACCAUCCAAGCCAACUAGGAAAAGUGCUGAUCCAUUUCUGUUAAUGGAAAUUCGCUGAACCUCAGAAUUCAAUUGCACAUCAGCUUGCAUUACCUUAGAGGGAGAAGCUGCUAGGAGGGAAGUAGGAUCAGGUUCGCCCAAUCGAACAGAGAGUCGAUGCAGACAGGUUUUGUAAGAGUCCCAAAAGUAGAGACGAGAAGCUCCGUCCCAAGCUAAAAGAUUUUUGGGCAUUGUCAAGGCCCUGUCUCCAUCCCUAUCCCUGUCCGGCGGAGUAGAAAAGACAGGGUGGUGUUGUAAGGGUAGCCAUUCCACAUCUUCAGAUUGACGGCCACCAUCCUCCUCCUCGAAAUUGUAUCUCAUACUCCUUCGAUUCUCCCACAAAACCAAAUGUAAAUUGUUUAUUGCCUUUUCAAAAAUAUGUGAGGGGUUCCUGUGCUGAGCAUGGGCCCAAU